GAUGAAGAACGUAGUGAAAUGCGAUAAGUAAUGUGAAUUGCAGAAUUCAGUGAAUCAUCGAAUCUUCGAACGCACAUUGCGCCCGCGAGUAUUCUCGCGGGCAUGCCUGUCCGAGCGUCAUUUCAACCCUCAGGGCCCGCCUGCUUCGGCAGGCGCGGCGCUGGUGUUGGGGAUCGGCCUAACCGCCGUCCCCCAAAUACAGUGGCGGUCUCGCUGCAGCCUCCCCUGCGUAGUAGCAACACUCGCAUGCGGAGCGCGGCGCGGCCACGCCGUAAAACCCCCGACUUUCUGAACGUUGACCUCGGAUCAGGUAGGAAUACCCGCUGAACUUAAGCAUAUCAAUAAGCGGAGGA
rnacentral:misc_RNA from 1 species